UUGAACGCUGGCGGCAGGCCUAACACAUGCAAGUCGAACGGUAACAGCAAGCAGCUUGCUGCUUUGCUGACGAGUGGCGGACGGGUGAGUAAUGUCUGGGAAACUGCCUGAUGGAGGGGGAUAACUACUGGAAACGGUAGCUAAUACCGCAUAACGUCGCAAGACCAAAGAGGGGGACCUUCGGGCCUCUUGCCAUCGGAUGUGCCCAGAUGGGAUUAGCUAGUAGGUGGGGUAAAGGCUCACCUAGGCGACGAUCCCUAGCUGGUCUGAGAGGAUGACCAGCCACACUGGAACUGAGACACGGUCCAGACUCCUACGGGAGGCAGCAGUGGGGAAUAUUGCACAAUGGGCGCAAGCCUGAUGCAGCCAUGCCGCGUGUAUGAAGAAGGCCUUCGGGUUGUAAAGUACUUUCAGCGGGGAGGAAGGGAGUAAAGUUAAUACCUUUGCUCAUUGACGUUACCCGCAGAAGAAGCACCGGCUAACUCCGUG
rnacentral:rRNA from 1 species